rnacentral:rRNA from 1 species
GGGGAAUCUUCCGCAAUGGGCGAAAGCCUGAUGGAGCAACGCCGCGUGAGUGAAGAAGGUCUUAGGAUUGUAAAGCUCUGUCCUUAGGGAAGAACCGUGGGUAUAGUAAAUGCUACCCACCUGACGGUACCUUUGGAGGAAGCACUGGCUAACUACGUGCCAGCAGCCGCGGUAAUACGUAGAGUGCAAGCGUUGUCCGGAAUCAUUGGGCGUAAAGGGUACGCAGGCGGAUAUGCAAGUCAAAUGUGAAAACUACCGGCUUAACUGGUAGACUGCGUUUGAAACUGUAUAUCUUGAGUGCAGCAGAGGAGAGCGGAAUUUCUAGUGUAGUGGUGGAAUACGUAGAUAUUGGAAAGAACACCAGUGGCGAAGGCGACUCUCUGGGUUAACACUGACGCUGAGGUACGAAAGCUGGGGGAGCGAAAGGGAUUAGAUACCCCUGUAGUC